rnacentral:rRNA from 1 species
UGGAGAGUUUGAUCCUGGCUCAGGACGAACGCUGGCGGCGUGCUUAACACAUGCAAGUCGAGCGAGGCUCCACUCUUCGGAGUGGAAGCCCUAGCGGCGAACGGGUGAGUAACACGUGGGCAACCUGCCCCUAGCACUGGGAUAACCCCGGGAAACCGGAGCUAAUACCGGAUAUGACCACGGACGGCAUCAUCUCGUGGUGGAAAGAUUUAUCGGCUAGGGAUGGGCCCGCGGCCUAUCAGCUUGUUGGUGGGGUAAUGGCCUACCAAGGCGACGACGGGUAGCCGGCCUGAGAGG